AUUGAACGCUGGCGGCAGGCCUAACACAUGCAAGUCGAACGAGUGGCGGACGGGUGAGUAAUGUCUGGGAAACUGCCUGAUGGAGGGGGAUCACUCCUGGAAACGGUAGCUAAUACCGCAUACCAUCGGAUGUGCCCAGAUGGGAUUAGCUAGUAGGUGAGUUAACGCCGCACCUAGGCGGCGAUCCCUAGCUGGUCUGAGAGGAAGACCAGCCACACUGGAACGUGGACAGGGUCAAGAAUCCUACGGGCGGCAGCAAUAGGGAAUAUUGCACGAUGGGCACAAGCCUGAAGCAGCCAUGACGCGUGUAUGAAGAGGGCCUUCGGGUGGUAGAGUACUUUCAGCGGGGAGGCGUUACCCGCAGAAGAGACACCGGCUAACAACGUGCCGGCAGCCGCGGUAAUUC
rnacentral:rRNA from 1 species